CCAACAGGGAUUGCCUCAGUAACGGCGAGUGAAGCGGCAAAAGCUCAAAUUUGAAAUCCUUCGGGAGUUGUAAUUUGUAGGUUGGGAGACCCCGCGGCUAGUGGCACCAAGUCCCUUGGAACAGGGCGCCUUAGAGGGUGAGAGCCCCGUAGGUACCACAAUACCGUCUUGUGUCUCCUCUCCAAAGAGUCGAGUUGUUUGGGAAUGCAGCUCAAAGUGGGUGGUAAAUUCCAUCUAAAGCUAAAUACCGGCGAGAGACCGAUAGCGAACAAGUACAGUGAUGGAAAGAUGAAAAGCACUUUGAAAAGAGAGUGAAACAGUACGUGAAAUUGUUGAAAGGGAAGGGCUUGCAAGCAGACACGGCCUUCGUGCCGGGCCAGCAUCGGUUGCUAGGGGUGGAUAAGGAACAAGGAAUGUAGCUCCUCGGAGUAUUAUAGCCUUGCGCGAUACACCCACUGGCGACCGAGGCCUGCGGUAUUCUUUACCUAGGAUGCUGGCGUAAUGGUUGCAAGCCGCCCGU
rnacentral:rRNA from 1 species